rnacentral:rRNA from 1 species
GUCUCAAAGAUUAAGCCAUGCAUGUCUAAGUAUAAGCACUUGUACUGUGAAACUGCGAAUGGCUCAUUAAAUCAGUUAUCGUUUAUUUGAUUGUACUUUACUACAUGGAUACCUGUGGUAAUUCUAGAGCUAAUACAUGCGAAAAAUCCCGACUUCUGGAAGGGAUGUAUUUAUUAGAUUAAAAACCAAUGCGAGUCUUCGGGCUCGUUUUCUUGGUGAUUCAUGAUAACUUUUCGAAUCGCAUGGCCUAGCGCCGGCGAUAUUUCAUUCAAAUUUCUGCCCUAUCAACUGUCGAUGGUAAGGUAGUGGCUUACCAUGGUUAUAACGGGUGACGGAGAAUUAGGGUUCGAUUCCGGAGAGGGAGCCUGAGAAACGGCUACCACAUCUAAGGAAGGCAGCAGGCUCGAAAAUUACCCAAUCCCAAUUCGGGGAGGUAGUGACAAGAAAUAACGAUACGGGGUCUUAAUAGGUCUCGCAAUUGGAAUGAGUACAAUUUAAAUCCUUUAACGAGGAUCAAUUGGAGGGCAAGUCUGGUG